UACGUAGGGGGCAAGCGUUGUCCGGAUUUAUUGGGCGUAAAGAGCGUGUAGGCGGCCGCACAGGUCCGUUGUGAAAACUGGAGGCUUAACCUUCAGACGUCGAUGGAAACCGUGCGGCUAGAGUCCGGAAGAGGAGAGUGGAAUUCCUGGUGUAGCGGUGAAAUGCGCAGAUAUCAGGAAGAACACCGGUGGCGAAGGCGGGUCUCUGGGCAACUACUGACGCUGAGGAGCGAAAGCGUGGGGAGCGAACAGG
rnacentral:rRNA from 1 species